rnacentral:tRNA from 1 species
GGGGAUGUAGCUCAGUGGUAGAGUGCUUGUCUAGCAUGCACAGGGCCCUGGGUUUUAUCCCCAGCACCCCCU